ACUCUUAAUCUCGUUGAGACGUUUGAUUUGAAAUCAAGCUGAUUGUUUUUAAUAACAAUAUGAGUU
rnacentral:tRNA from 1 species